GCCAGGUGUGGUGGUGCAUGCCUGUAAUCCCAGUUACUUGGGAGGCUGAAGCAGGAGAAUCACUUGAACCCGGGAGGCGGAGGUUGCAGUGAACUGAGAUUGCGCCAUUGUACUCCAGCUGGGCAACAAGAGUGAAACUCUGUCUCAAAAAAAAAAAGAAGAAGAAAAGAAUUACAAUUUUCUUUCUUUCUUUUUUUUUUGGGAUGGAGUCUCACUCUGUCACCCAGGCUGGAGUGCAAUGGCACAAUCUCAGCUCACUGCAACCUCCGCCUCCCGGGUUCAAGCAAUUCUCUGCCUCAG
rnacentral:SRP_RNA from 1 species